AGUCGCGUAUAGCAAGGUCGAAAGAUAGCGUACGAGGAAAGUCCGGGCUCCAUAGAGCAAUGAUGCUGGAUAACGUCCAGUGAGGGCAACCUUAAGGAAAGUGCAACAGAAAAUAACCGCCACUUAGAAGUUAGGUAUUAGAAAUUAAAUAAAAGUUAAUAUAUAAAAUUUAAUUUUUAAUAUCUAAUUUCUAACUGGUAAGGGUGAAAAGGUGAGGUAAGAGCUUACCGCUAAUAUGGUGACAUAUUAGGUCAAUGCAAACCCCAUCUGGAGCAACACCGAGUAAAGAAGGUUAAUGGCUGCUCGUCAGUCUUCUUGUAUUGGUGGCAAGAGACAUAUAGCAAUAUAUGUACUAGAUAGAUGACUAUUCACGACAGAACCCGGCUUACAGAUUUACUUCU
rnacentral:RNase_P_RNA from 1 species